ACGGGCUGGAUAUUUGCCUCCUCCUCCCCUCGUAGGUGCUGUGCAGCCACCAGGGUCUGUGGUUCUGUGACCCUGAGUGCCGACCGAUGGGGACACGAUCCAGUCUUGUCAGUGAAUCAUCUUCAGGCUGCUUAUUGGAAACCAGAUGGUGAGAGAAAAUGGGGUGUAACCCAUGCCUCCCAGGUGACUCUUCCCCCACUGCCAGGGGCCUCGAAACCAGCAUUCCAGGUGGCAGGAAGACCUCCGAGCUGGGCUCGGCUUCCGGCGCCCCUCCCCCGCGUCAGUCAUGUAAGUAGCCGGGACUCAGCACCCAGCCCCGGCGGGAGGGAGAAGCUGCUGCCUCGCGGGAACCUUCCAGCGCUCUGGAUUUGAACACGUCGUGGUAGCACAGAACGAGGCGGCAGCAUCAGCUUCCUGGGGCUUUGUGUCUCUUGGCUCCAUGGGUUUGCUUAUGGACCUCAUAAACCAGGAUUCCUCCUCUCCUCCCCGCUUUCCUCCCAUGUUAUUUUGUGGGCACCAGGCCUGGCAUGGGAUUUUUAGGACUUUAAAAGACACAGACAGCAUCAUUUCUAGAAUGCAGUAGAAGCUCUCUUUGCAAUCUCCAGACUGCUGUUUAACCCAUGGCCCACGAGUUCUGUCUAUUUAACCCUCAGAUGUUUUUGUUUGGCCUACACAGAGUUUUUGUUGAUUUUUUUUUAAAUGUAUCUGAUUUGCAUGCCUUUAGACAAAAAGCCUCUCCAGGUCACUACUCCUGCUGCAUGUCGCUGCUUCUCUCCUGUUUCCUGUCCCAGCCCUGGAGCAUUUGAAUGCACUCGACACCAGGCCUCAUGAGCCCUCCUUCUUUUUAGAACUGCGGUCCAUUCCAGGGAGGUGCAGGCCCCUUCUCUCGGGAGUCUGGGCUGAGCAGGAAUUAAAGCCGCUGAGUUCUGAUUCACUCUGCGGAGGCCUUUCCUCCACCCUCGGUCCCUGCCUAAGGCAGAGGAGGGUCCUAGGCAGGAGGGGGUGGUAGAAUGUCUGCAGAGAAAUGGAUGGGGGCCGCAGUGUGCUUCCCAAACCCUUUUCCCGCACGGUGGCCCCUCCCAGAGCUGACAUACCCACCCCUCUGGCUGGCCGGUUUUCCUUCCCGGACAGCCCACCAAGCCCUUCCCACUGGCCAGUUUGCCUGGGGCCAUUAGGCCAGGCAGGGAGGAUCACACCAUCCGCUUUUGACGGCCUAGCCCUCCCAGGCUGGGGCUUCUCCGGGCUGCCUUCUUACAGAUGGAGGUGGCCAUCGAGCUGCGUGCCAGGGAGCGCAGGCCCCUUCCAGCCCCCAUCCAGCCCCCUAGCUACAUCCAGCUGGGGAACAAGAACACCAGCUGGCUUCAGGUAAGUGAGCCAUUGCUUGGCAGACUUCGUGAGAGCAGCCUGGUUCUUUUGGGAGGGCUGAGACCUGCAUAGACUCUUGUAUCCAGUGGGGUUGUAGGGGCAAAAGGUCUUGGUACUAGGAUUACUUUCUUCCCCUCUUCUUGUGUUAGAGUGUUUAUGGUACUGUGUUAAGAAUGAUGUCUCUCUUCCUCCAGAGAACUGAGUAUGGUAGAACUCAGGUGCUGGGAGCCCGAGCUCUGGGUCAUGGCCAUUAGUUCCCUCAGUGAUGGUUGCUCCUCUGCAAUGCCCCCCGCCCCCCGAACUCUGGGCUGAUGCUCCCUGGGUAGCAGGAGAGACUGUCAUUAAUCACCCUGAUGACCACGUAACGUACGUGCAUCCUGAAGGACAAGAACUAGGUGCUGUGACCCAAUCCCUGGCUCACCUGGGGAAGGCUUCAGGCGACCUGCAUUACCUGGGGGAGGGUUGACGGGUGGUAGUUCUGGGAGGGUGGACAGAGAAUGUUCCAGAAAGAGGGAGCAGUGUAUGCAAAGGCCUGCUGGGGAAGGAAGGGGGCCAUCUGGAUCACUGAAAGACACUUGUGUGACAACACGUUAGGAAAUGUUCUGUGGAUACUGGCAGUUGGAAGUUGCUAAGGAGGAAGAGUUCAGCUGGAGUCAAAUGCCGAAAAGCUGAGCGGAACCAAAUAUAGAGCCCCAACCCCCUCUAUGAAAUGACUAUCAUUUACCACUUCCUGACCUUACAACCCUGGAAGUUACCUGCUUACCGGGGCCCAGCUGUUGACGGCAGGUGUCCUUGAUCAGAGCUGCUGCCCUGCCCUCCUGUCAGUGGCUGAGGCUGUGCAAAGGCCCUGGGCUUGGAGCCCAGUGCUGGGGUCAGAAUCUGCAGUCCAGCACAGGCAUUGUGGGCGGGUCCUCUCCAGCGCCUCCCCCCAACACAGCCAUGCUGUGGGUGUGGGAGGACGCAGCAGGCCAGCUCAGAGCACCGGGCCCCCUGCAGAACCAGCUGGGCUCCUGUCUCAACCGAAGUUCAACCUGUUGUCAGUCACAUCCACAGCCAUGCAGAAACAUUGCCUAGGACUACCUUGCCUCCCCCUGCCCCAACCUUGCUCACAGUUGAGAUCAAGAACAGAAGGAGAUGAUAGACCAGCCAUGGAGCAGGCACAGUGGGCCAAGGGGCAGGAACAGAGACUGUGGAGUUAGAUCUGGGAUCUGCACCGUGUAUUAGUCACGUGACCGUGGGCAAGUUACUGAAGCGUGUUAAAGAGCAGUUUCUCCUGCAAGCAUGGGAAUAAUCCGUGCUUCCCGGGGCUGACACAAUUAAAGAGCACACUUUAGUGUUCAGAUUUUAUUUCCUCCUCUUCCCUGGAGAAGCGUAUGCUGUUAUUUCCAAGAGCCACAAUAUUUACAGGCCUGUGUCUGGAGGCCCACACAGCUGGUAGAGAGCCGCAGAGGUACAGAUUCCACUGUCUCUCUUUCCGGGGUUGUGGUACCCCGGGAAAACAGACACGUUUUCUCAGCUUCAGACAACCAAAAACGACCCAUUUAGGAGAUGGGAAAUCUAAUUUGAACACAGGAUGCAAAUCUUAUUUUCAGACAAAUUCUGAAAACAACACACAACUCAGUUCUCAGAGGAUUAUCUACUUAACACGGUUUUAGGACAUCACGUUUUUUUGUGUCACGGCCGAGGAUAAAUAAGAUUGCCAAUGUUCUGAGCCUUACAUAAGGCGGGGAAGGAGGAGCCUGAGCUCUUUCUGAGCAGGGCACAUGGAAGGGUUGCCCAGGCCUGGGCGAAACGCCCCUCUGUGUACUGGCUAGAACCUCAUGGGCAGAUAGGGUGCUUGUUUCCCGACGACGUGAGCUAGGAUUGGAAAACACUCCGCGUGCCAUGAAAUAUUUUCUAGAGCAGGGCAGUGCUAAUGAAGGUAUCAAUGCAUUUUGAUAAUAGCUCUGGGAGACUUGAUUUUAUCCUAUAGCUAAUACUCUUAUUAGGACCCGUUGUGGAAUUAAACAGCAUUAACCAGACUUCAUGAGUUAUGUACCACUACCGAGUGUGUGAAGCCUCAGCCGUGACGUCAGCCGGCCUCGAGCGCCACUGGGGAGCUCUUCGCUGGGCCUUUGUCACGGAUGGUGAUGUCACAUCACAAGCGGAACCGCAAGAAGACCUCCCUCCCUCCUCGGGGCAGAGCCUGGGUCUUCCGAUGACAUCUUCCUUCUUUCUUCAAUGAGAUCCUCUUCUUCUGGAAGCUGGUUUCACAUGGUGGCUUAGAUUUUUCCAUCUUUGUAUCUAGCACCAUUUGAAAUCAGUGUUUUAGGAGUAAGAAUUGCAGCACAGCAAAGGGCCACCUGCAGAGGAGCCUCCGCGGGUGGGACGGGCGCCCUCCCCCUGCCCCUGAGCCGGCCCAAGAAAGGAAGACCUUGCAGAGGAGAGUGCACCCUAGCGUACGUGGGCUGUGGAGGGGUGAUGGCGCGGGGAGGGUGUGGUGUGUAAAGGGAACUCUGCCUCCGAGCAGGGGCAGAGGGGUGCCAGCUUGCCACAGCCACCAGGGCUCACCUGCCCGUUGGGCCUUCAAGCGCAGAGAUGGGGCCGUGCUCCACGCGGGGCUCAGUUGUACCAGGGGAGGGGCGGGGCUGUGUACCCGGAGGACGGCCCCAUCCACGUCAGCACUGCGCCUGCUCUAGACGCCCCGGAACCCUCAGCUGCUGCUGCAGGGCGGCUGGAAUCAGACUCGCCACCUGCACGGUCGAGGGCAGGACCCCCAGGAGCGCCACUGGACCCAUCUCUUACACAGGCUGACCGAUUUCUCCUGGUGUUCAGAGUCUGUUUUUGUCUAGCACCAUUUGAAAUCGGUUAUGAUGUAGGGGGAAAAGCAGCAGCCUCGAAGCCUCAUGCCAACGGUGGUGAGCAAGCGCCUGUGGUCUCCUGGAGGACGGAUGGGCAGAGAGUGGGGAAGGACGAUCUCGCGCUUUUUUCACUAACUUCUUUAACUGCAUUUAUGAUGCCUUAUUGCAGAGGUAAGAGAGAACUGAAUGUCUUUUGAAAAACAAAUGGCCAUAAUGCAUCUGAUGUCCCGGGUUGCAUGUUGCUGAAAUGUGGCAGCUGCUGCAGCUGCUGUCAGCGGUUGCUGUUGAAUCAUCUUUCCGUGAAGAGUCUGUUCGUGCCUCCUGACCUGAAUAAAUACUUCACUCUACUCAAUUAA